UGGGGAAUUUUGGACAAUGGGCGCAAGCCUGAUCCAGCCAUUCCGCGUGCAGGAUGAAGGCCUUCGGGUUGUAAACUGCUUUUGUACGGAACGAAAAGGUCUUGGUUAAUACCUGGGGCUCAUGACGGUACCGUAAGAAUAAGCACCGGCUAACUACGUGCCAGCAGCCGCGGUAAUACGUAGGGUGCAAGCGUUAAUCGGAAUUACUGGGCGUAAAGCGUGCGCAGGCGGUUUUGUAAGACAGAUGUGAAAUCCCCGGGCUCAACCUGGGAACUGCAUUUGUGACUGCAAAGCUAGAGUGCGGCAGAGGGGGAUGGAAUUCCGCGUGUAGCAGUGAAAUGCGUAGAUAUGCGGAGGAACACCGAUGGCGAAGGCAAUCCCCUGGGCCUGCACUGACGCUCAUGCACGAAAGCGUGGGGAGCAAACAG
rnacentral:rRNA from 1 species